UACGAAGGGGCUAGCGUUGCUCGGAAUCACUGGGCGUAAAGCGCACGUAGGCGGCUUUUAAGUCAGGGGUGAAAUCCUGGAGCUCAACUCCAGAACUGCCUUUGAUACUGAAGAGCUUGAGUCCGGGAGAGGUGAGUGGAACUGCGAGUGUAGAGGUGAAAUUCGUAGAUAUUCGCAAGAACACCAGUGGCGAAGGCGGCUCACUGGCCCGGUACUGACGCUGAGGUGCGAAAGCGUGGGGAGCAAACAGGG
rnacentral:rRNA from 1 species